rnacentral:rRNA from 1 species
ACGGGAGGCAGCAGUGGGGAAUUUUGCGCAAUGGGGGGAACCCUGACGCAGCAACGCCGCGUGCGGGACGAAGGCCUUCGGGUUGUAAACCGCUUUCAGCAGGGAAGAAGUUGACGGUACCUGCAGAAGAAGCCCCGGCUAACUACGUGCCAGCAGCCGCGGUAAUACGUAGGGGGCGAGCGUUAUCCGGAUUCAUUGGGCGUAAAGCGCGCGUAGGCGGCCCGUCAAGCGGAACCUCUAACCCGAGGGCUCAACCCCCGGUCGGGUUCCGAACUGGCAGGCUCGAGUUUGGUAGAGGAAGAUGGAAUUCCCGGUGUAGCGGUGGAAUGCGCAGAUAUCGGGAAGAACACCGAUGGCGAAGGCAGUCUUCUGGGCCAUCAACUGACGCUGAGGCGCGAAAGCUGGGGGAGCGAACAGGAUUAGAUACCCUGGUA